CAAAAGUCUGGUCCUGACUUUACUGUCCGCCCCCGCCAAGUUUAUACAUGCAAGUAUCCGCACCCCAGUGAGAAUGCCCCUAAACCCCCACCCGGAAAUGAGGAGCAGGCAUCAGGCACACCCCUUCGUAGCCCAUGACGCCUUGCACAGCCACGCCCCCACGGGAACUCAGCAGUGAUAAAUUUUAGGCAAUAAGUGCAACCUUGACCUAUCUAUGGCUAAGAGGGCCGGUAAAUCUCGUGCCAGCCACCGCGGUCAUACGAGUGGCCCAAGUGGACAGCCAACGGCGUAAAGCGUGGUUAAGGACCCCCCCCCCGAUUAAAGCAGAACCCCCUCAAGGCCGUCAUACGCAUCCGACAGGGUGAAGCCCCACCUCGAAAGUGACUUUAACUCACCUGACCCCACGAAAACUGAGAAACAAACUGGGAUUAGAUACCCCACUAUGCUCAGCCGUAAACACUGAUAGAAACCCUACGACACCUAUCCGCCUGGGGACUACAAGCACUAGCUUCAAACCCAAAGGACUUGGCGGUGCUUUAGACCCACCUAGAGGAGCCUGUCCUAGAACCGAUAACCCCCGUUCAACCUCACCACUUCUUGCCUAAUCCGUCUAUAUACCUCCGUCGUCAGCUUACCCUGUGAAGGACUCAUAGUAAGCUUAACUGGCACAGCCCAAAACGUCAGGUCGAGGUGUAGCAUACGAAGUGUGCAAGAGAUAGGCUACAUUUUCUGAUUCAGAAUACUACGAAAGAGGAAAUGAAAAACCCUCCGAAGGCGGAUUUAGCAGUAAGCAAGGAAUAGAGCGCCCCGCUGAAACUGGCCCUGAAGCGCGUACACACCGCCCGUCACUCUCCCCAAACCCAACCAACCCCUCACUAACAUAUAUCACCCCCUGGAUAAAGGGGAGGCAAGUCGUAACAUGGUAGGAGUACCGGAAGGUGCCCCUGGCUAA
rnacentral:ncRNA from 1 species